rnacentral:rRNA from 1 species
CCCCUAGAUGUCCUGGGCCGCACGCGCAAUACAAUGUAAAGUUCAGAAAGCAUAUCCUGUUCCGGAAGGCAAUGGGUAAUCUUUUCAAUAUUUUACGUGUUAGGGAUCGAUCUUUGCAAUUAUAGAUCUUGAACGAGGAAUACCUAGUAAGUGCAGCUCAUCAGGCUGUACUGAUUACGUCCCUGCCCUUUGUACACACCGCCCGUCGCUCCUACCGAUUUCGAGUGGUCCGGUGAAUCUUUUGGAAUUAGAGUGCAAACCCAAACUAAGAUCGAUAAACCUUAUCACUUAGAGGAAGGAGAAGUCGUAACA